UGCCUGCUUUGGUGCGGGUUUCCCCCAGC
rnacentral:piRNA from 1 species